rnacentral:ncRNA from 2 species
UUAAUAUUUAAAUUUCUCAUCCAUAUAUUUCUGAUAAUAAGGUUCAGAAGUUUCUACGAGAAGCCUUAAAUUUCUCACUAUGGGUAAUCUGAUUCAAUAU